rnacentral:rRNA from 1 species
CCUACGGGAGGCAGCAGUGAGGAAUAUUGGUCAAUGGACGAGAGUCUGAACCAGCCAAGUAGCGUGAAGGAUGACUGCCCUCUGGGUUGUAAACUUCUUUUAUAAAGGAAUAAAACGAGGCACGUGUGCCUUUUUGCAUGUACUUUAUGAGUAAGGAUCGGCUAACUCCGUGCCAGCAGCCGCGGUAAUACGGAGGAUCCGAGCGUUAUCCGGAUUGAUUGGGUUUAAAGGGAGCGUAGAUGGGUUGUUAAGUCAGUUGUGAAAGUUUGCGGCUCAAACGUAAAAUUGCAAUUGAUACUGGCAGUCUUGAGUACAGUUGAGGUAGGCGGAAUUCGUGGUGUAGCGGUGAAAUGCUUAGAUAUCACGAAGAACCCCGAUUGCGAAGGCAGCUUACUAAACUGUAACUGACAUUGAUGCUCGAAAGUGUGGGUAUCAAACAGGAUUAGAUACCCCUGUAGUC